GACAAUUGAUAAUGGUGUUUUUGAAGUUCUUGCCACAAAUGGCGAUACUCAUUUGGGAGGUGAGAUUCUUGCUUAUUCAAAACAUUUGUUUAGCUGUUAUAUUCUAUGAGUGAAUAUUUUGGGGGAGAAUUGUAACACCAAUGUCAAUGGCUUUUCUCCUAUAGGUGAGGAUUUUGACCAGAGAGUCAUGGAGUACUUCAUCAAGUUGAUCAAGAAGAAGCAUGGAAAGGACAUUAGCAAGGACAAUAGAGCUCUUGGAAAGCUUAGAAGAGAAAGUGAACGUGCCAAGAGAGCUUUGAGUAGCCAACAUCAAGUUCGUGUUGAGAUUGAAUCUCUCUUUGACGGUGUGGAUUUCUCUGAACCGCUUACCAGAGCUAGGUUUGAAGAGUUGAAUAACGACUUAUUCAGAAAGACCAUGGGACCAGUUAAGAAGGCAAUGGAGGAUGCUGGAUUGCAGAAGCAACAGAUUGAUGAAAUUGUUCUUGUUGGUGGCAGCACCAGAAUUCCAAAGGUUCAGCAGCUCCUGAAGGAUUACUUUGAUGGGAAGGAGCCCAACAAGGGUGUGAACCCUGACGAGGCUGUUGCUUAUGGUGCUGCUGUUCAAGGAGGAAUUCUAAGCGGAGAGGGUGGUGACGAAACCAAAGAUAUACUUCUCCUGGACGUUGCUCCACUCACUCUUGGCAUUGAAACUGUUGGUGGAGUGAUGACCAAGUUGAUUCCUAGAAACACUGUUAUUCCAACUAAGAAGUCUCAAGUUUUCACCACCUACCAAGAUCAACAAACAACUGUCACUAUUCAGGUCUUCGAGGGUGAAAGGAGUCUCACAAAGGACUGCAGGCUGCUUGGGAAAUUUGAUUUAACCGGAAUUGCCCCAGCUCCAAGAGGAACUCCACAGAUUGAGGUGACGUUCGAGGUUGAUGCCAAUGGUAUCCUAAAU
rnacentral:misc_RNA from 1 species